GACGAACGCUGGCGGCGUGCCUAAUACAUGCAAGUAGAACGCACAGUUUAUACCGUAGCUUGCUACACCAUAGACUGUGAGUUGCGAACGGGUGAGUAACGCGUAGGUAACCUGCCUGGUAGCGGGGGAUAACUAUUGGAAACGAUAGCUAAUACCGCAUAAUAUUAAUUAUUGCAUGAUAAUUAAUUGAAAGGUGCAAUUGCACCACUACCAGAUGGACCUGCGUUGUAUUAGCUAGUAGGUGAGGUAACGGCUCACCUAGGCGACGAUACAUAGCCGACCUGAGAGGGUGAUCGGCCACACUGGGACUGAGACACGGCCCAGACUCCUGCGGGGGGCAGCAGUAGGGAAUCUUCGGCAAUGGACGAAAGUCUGACCGAGCAACGCCGCGUGAGUGAAGAAGGUUUUCGGAUCGUAAAGCUCUGUUGUAAGAGAAGAACGGGUGUGAGAGUGGAAAGUUCACACUGUGACGGUAUCUGACCAGAAAGGGACGGCUAACUACGUG
rnacentral:rRNA from 1 species